rnacentral:rRNA from 1 species
AUUGAACGCUGGCGGCAGGCCUAACACAUGCAAGUCGAACGGUAACAGGAAUCAGCUUGCUGAUUCGCUGACGAGUGGCGGACGGGUGAGUAAUGUCUGGGAAACUGCCUGAUGGAGGGGGAUAACUACUGGAAACGGUAGCUAAUACCGCAUAACGUCGCAAGACCAAAGAGGGGGACCUUCGGGCCUCUUGCCAUCGGAUGUGCCCAGAUGGGAUUAGCUAGUAGGUGGGGUAACGGCUCACCUAGGCGACGAUCCCUAGCUGGUCUGAGAGGAUGACCAGCCACACUGGUACUGAGACACGGUCCAGACUCCUACGGGAGGCAGCAGUGGGGAAUAUUGCACAAUGGGCGCAAGCCUGAUGCAGCCAUGCCGCGUGUAUGAAGAAGGCCUUCGGGUUGUAAAGUACUUUCAGCGAGGAGGAAGGUGUUGUGGUUAAUAACCACAGCAAUUGACGUUACUCGCAGAAGAAGCACCGGCUAACUCCGUGCCAGCAGCCGCCGUAAUAC